UUAAAACCGAUGAGAAGAAAGAGUAGGUAUAAGGAGUUUAGUUUAAGCGAAUUUGGAAUGGUGAGAGCCAAAUACUGUAGCCUAUAUUGAAUGGGUCUUCAAGGUGUGAUGCGAAAUGGUAGUAGCAGCAGCCGGUAGUCUACCGUUAAAAGGACAGGGUAUCGAGUAAAAUCUGUACCUGUAGGAGAUAGUUUUGUAUUUAGGUGGCAUAACGAAAUUUAGCAUUUCGUCCUUUAUGGAUGAAAUGCUUUUUUAUUUUUCACUAUAAAUAUAAGCUAAUUUGGGUGGCACCACGGUCAUUUCGUCCCAUUU
rnacentral:ncRNA from 1 species